AGCAAAUCUCUUAAAGCCGUUCUCAGUUCGGAUUGUAGGCUGCAACUCGCCUACAUGAAGUCGGAAUCGCUAGUAAUCGCGGAUCAGCAUGCCGCGGUGAAUACGUUCCCGGGCCUUGUACACACCGCCCGUCACACCAUGAGAGUUUGUAACACCCAAAGCCGGUGGGGUAACCUUUUGGAGCCAGCCGUCUAAGGUGGGACAGAUGAUUAGGGUGAAGUCGUAACAAGGUACC
rnacentral:rRNA from 1 species